AUAUCAUAUAUGAGUUCUGAUGACUUCCUGAUUUGUACUCUUUCAGAGAAGUGACUACAGUAGGUAGAACCAGAACUGACAGUGGGGUAAAAAUGUCAUACUGUCUAGUGAUGAAGAAGGAUUUGCAGCAUUCCAUUUUAAGUAAAGAGGACAAUUGACUGCCAAGAGCACGGAAAUGUUAUGAAUAGGAAUAAAAAUAAAUAAGAUUUUAUUUAAAAAGAACAAUCUAGUAUGUAAAGAGCAAUUUUUUUUCAUCUGAAAAGAUUAUUUCGAAUAAUAUUGAAUGUAAAAAUCAAAUGAUUUUAACAGAAAGACCAGUGUGAAUUUUCAGUCAAUACUAUUUUAUCUGGUGCAUGCAAAACCUCAGAGGCAAUAGCACUAAUUAAGAAGCUAAAUUCAGUAAUGACACAAGGCAGAUUAUAGAGCACAUUCUGUGUAGGUAUCAAUUCUACAUUUAGAGCAGAUGUAGGGUGAUAGAUGCACCUCAUGCGAGUAAAAAAAGAAAGAUUAGUUAAGAAGGACAGGCCUAUUCAGUUUGUUGCCAUUACGGUACAUAAAAGAAAGGUAUUUAUCUUAAUGGUUUUCCCAACUUAACUCACACUAUUCAUGGAAAUUCUUUAGACACUUACAAAGAAGUAUUGUUUUCUUUAUUGAACAAUGUAACUAAACAAUCUCCUUUUCCUUGUGCAACAACAAUAAAUCCUACUCAAUUGCUUUCAAUUGACUCCAAAAAUAGUGCAAGGUUUUUCUCUGGUUUGCAGAACCUGGUGGUGGGGAGGUCAAGAUUCAGUGAGAACUUGCAGUAGAGCAAUGAGGGAUGGAAGAAGAGAGGCCUGCAAUAUGUAAUGUUUUCAGGAUGAUUUGAGUAUUCCUAUGCAUAUAAAUACUAAUUUCUCUCCAACUUGGAAGAAGGAGGGUAAAAACACAAGAUAUUCCCAAUAUUAUGUUAAGGAGAAGAUUUCCACACUGGAUGUCAGAGGAUAAUAUUUUGGACAUAUAUCAACUAAAAAAUCAAAUGAAGUCUCUGAAGCAUUUUGAGAAAAGUCUGCCAGUACUGCUGAUGUUAUGA
rnacentral:lncRNA from 1 species